UUUCUACAAUCAACACAAUAGAAUCAUACUUACUACUAAGAUAACAAAGAAUUUAAUUAAAAGAAACCUCAAGGUGAAACAACCCUUUAUCUCCCUCCUUCUUCUUCCUUCCUCCACACUUUAUUCUUCCUCCACAAGCUUUAAAACCCUUAGAUCACUCAAAUAUUUAGUGUAGCUCACCAUAAACCUUCUUAAUUAUCUUAACUCUCCAUAAUCAUGCAUUAUUUUCAAGAAUUGAUGAGAGAAUUG
rnacentral:lncRNA from 1 species